UUUAAAAAGGCGGCGUAAAGCUGUCGCUAAAAGGGAUGGGACCUGCGAUGCAUUAGCUAGUUGGUAAGGGUAACGGGCUUUACCCAAGGCGAUGAUGCAUAGCCCGAGUUGAGAGACUGAUCGGGCCACAUUGGGACUGAGACACGGCCCAAAACUCCUACGGGAGGCAGCAGUAGGGAAUCUUCCACAAUGGACGAAAGUCUGAUGGAGCAACGCCGCGUGAGUGAAGAAGGUUUUCGGAUCGUAAAGCUCUGUUGUUGGUGAAGAAGGAUAGAGGUAGUAACUGGCCUUUAUUUGACGGUAAUCAACCAGAAAGUCACGGCUAACUACGUGCCAGUAGCCGCGGUAAU
rnacentral:rRNA from 1 species